rnacentral:rRNA from 1 species
GAUGAACGCUGGCGGCGUGCCUAAUACAUGCGAGUCGAGCGAACAGACGAGGAGCUUGCUCCUCUGACGUUAGCGGCGGACGGGUGAGUAACACGUGGAUAACCUACCUAUAAGACUGGGAUAACUUCGGGGAACCGGAGCUAAUACCGGAUAAUAUAUUGAACCGCAUGGUUCAAUAGUGAAAGACGGUUUUGCUGUCACUUAUAGAUGGAUCCGCGCCGCAUUAGCUAGUUGGUAAGGUAACGGCUUACCAAGGCAACGAUGCGUAGCCGACCUGAGAGGGUGAUCGGCCACACUGGAACUGAGACACGGUCCAGACUCCUACGGGAGGCAGCAGUAGGGAAUCUUCCGCAAUGGGCGAAAGCCUGACGGAGCAACGCCGCGUGAGUGAUGAAGGUCUUCGGAUCGUAAAACUCUGUUAUUAGGGAAGAACAAAUGUGUAAGUAACUAUGCACGUCUUGACGGUACCUAAUCAGAAAGCCACGGCUAACUACGUG